UAAGCUACAACUUCUCCAUGUUUUAUGUCUUGAACAUAAAAUAUCCAAAAGACAUGUCCCUGACACUGGAAUUUAUACAAAGAGUCUUUCUGGGCUUAAACCCCAAACGAGGGUCAAAGGCUGAAAUGAAGGGGAAGAAGCAUCAUCACAUUCCACCCCGACUGCUCAAGUUUGUAAAUGAACUGUAUGACUUUGACAGUCCAUGGAAAAUUUGAUUCUUGUAAAAGGUGAUGCUUCAUAAUGUUCUCUGUUAUGUUGACAGCAGUUCAGAAAAUAGUAGUUGGAUGUUGGUCCUUGUUUACACCUGUGAUUUUAAUCUUGUAAUGCAAAUUGCAAGAUUAAAAUUGUAUUUUUUUAAUGUUAGUGUUGGAUUGUGUUAAUUAAAUUAAACUUAACAAAAUUAUUAAAUUGACUUCAAAGUCUGGACUCAAGAAUGAACUUUACAUUGACCUUAACAACUUUAAAAAUAUGUUUGACUGAAUAUAUAAUUGAGAAUGCAAUUUGUAAUUAUAUUGUAAUGAUGUGUUGAUAUGGUAUUGAAAAACCAUGAACUGCAAAAUAAAAUUUGCAAAUGGA